rnacentral:rRNA from 1 species
AUGGCUCAGGAUGAACGCUAGCUACAGGCUUAACACAUGCAAGUCGAGGGGCAGCAUUGGGAUAGCUUGCUAUUCAGAUGGCGACCGGCGCACGGGUGAGUAACGCGUAUCCAACCUUCCUGCCAGUAGGGAACAGCCCGGCGAAAGUCGGAUUAAUGCCCUAUGUUCUUCAAUGCGGACAUCUAAGUUGAAGGAAAGAUUCAUCGCUGGCAGAUGGGGAUGCGUCCGAUUAGCUUGCCGGCGGGUAACGGCCCACCGGGCGACGAUCGGUAGGGGUUCUGAGAGGAAGGUCCCCCACACUGGUACUGAGACACGGACCAGACUCCUACGGGAGGCAGCAGUGAGGAAUAUUGGUCAAUGGGCGUAAGCCUGAACCAGCCAAGUAGCGUGCAGGAUGACGGCCCUACGGGUUGUAAACUGCUUUUAUGCGGGGAUAAAGUGCGGCACGUGUGCCGCUUUGCAGGUACCGCAUGAAUAAGGACCGGCUAAUUCCGUGCCAGCAGCAGC